UCAUUAUUGAAAUCCGAGUUAGAGGGGACUGUCGCUGCACUCGCGUGAUGUGCACGUCCUUUCUUUCUUCUUUCUUCACACCUGUGCACCUACUGUAGGCCCUCGCAAGAGGAUCUAUGUCUUUCAUAUCACACCGAUCGUAUGUCCAUAGAAUGGUACCGAGAUCGACCGUCGACCUUGUAGACUCUACUAGUAUACUAUGGUCGGGAGGCGAUCGACGAAAAAUAUAUACAACUUUCAGCAAUGGAUCUCUUGGCUCUCGCAUCGAUGAAGAACGCAGCGAAUUGCGAUAAGUAAUGUGAAUUGCAGAUUUUCAGUGAAUCAUCGAAUCUUUGAACGCACCUUGCGCUCCUUGGUAUUCCGAGGAGCAUGCCUGUUUGAGUGUCAUCGAAUUCUCAACCAUGUCUUGAUUGACAUCGAGGCAUGGCUUGGACUUGGGGGUUGUUGGCUCCGAAAGAAGUCAGCUCUCCUGAAAUGCAUUAGCAAAAGAUCAGCAAGUCUGGGAUUGCAUGGUAUGGCCUUUCGACGUGAUAACGAUCGUCGUGAGACCAGAAGUGUUCAGACUGGAUGAUGUGAUUUGCUUCCAACGCCAAAGGGACUUGUUACUAGUUGGCCUUAUUUCGAUUUCGAACAAGGCCGGCGAACGCAGGUGGCCUUUUUAUUUUGACUUGACCUCAAAUCAGGUAGGACUACCCGCUGAACUUAAGCAUAUCAAUAAGCGGAGGAAAAGAAACUAACAAGGAUUCCCCUAGUAACUGCGAGUGAAGCGGGAAGAGCUCAAAUUUUGAAUCUGGCGGUCUUUGGCCGU
rnacentral:rRNA from 1 species